CUGGAAUCACUUCCUUGUCCUUUACACUAUUCACAAAUUCUCCUAAAUAUCUUCUCCAGAGCCUGAGCAGCAGCUCUUCCCAUAAGAAGGGCUGGACCUCUGUCUGAGUGAAGAGGAGAAGGGAUUAGUAAUUGUGAGCAAAAGGGGGAGGGUUUUUGUCUGAUGAAGGACCAUGUCUCACAGAGCAGAUGACGGACAUACAUGUGACAAAGACAGACAGCACUGUGACUAUCAGGCUAUUGGGGCUGCAGGCAAAGACCGGCUCUUAAGGGAUGAAAGUUUGCUUUUCAGUUGCCUCAUGGAUGGAUUCGGGGAGGUGAUAUCUAAUUCUUGAAUAUGGUGGUCACUGUCAGACAACUGCAGACAGCUGUGUGUCCAUUUAGGUGGCUGCUUUCAAAGUGGCCUGGGAAGUCUGUGGCUGUCACUCCCUAGGAAACCAGAAAGGAAGAGUGGGUCAAAGGACAAAAUCAGCUGUUGCAGCAACAGAAGAUUUAGGCACUGACAAAGUGCCAACCGUUAGGAACAGUUGCAGAGCCACACAGCUGGGAGGUCCACCCACCCUGGGGCUUCUUUUGCCACAGCAAUUUGAUAAAAACUAUUUUGGGAAGGAAUGUCCUCGGAACUGGAGUAUCUUCGACUCCCAAGGUUUCCUCUGAAUGAUUGGUCAACAGGUGUCAAAGAGCUGGUGGCAGAAAUAGUCCAGACCUCUCUGUUGUUCUAAUUUUACACCUGCUUGGGCAGCAGAGUUUGAAUGUAUUGCUUCUUAAACAAGGAAGUCUUUUAUCAGUUUCUGCAGGAAAAUAAGAGAGGCAAAUACAGUGUGGAUGCAGUAGCAUUUCCGUAGGUACACAUAUGGGCGCACUGUGACCACAGACUCUUCUCUGAUUUUUGUUGCAUAUUGAAACUAUGAUACAAUUCAAACCUACAGAGUUUUCAUAUAGAAUGGGGUCUCUCUGGAAGAACAGAUGUUGACAUACAUUAAUGUGAACUCUGCACGAAGCUAUCAUGGUUUUCUGAAAACUUGUUACCGGUGCAAAAUUAAAUAGUAUUACCUUUUUUUUUUAUUUUAACAACAGCACAUGCAAAAUAAGCUUGUGAAAUGGUGAUCAGUUCAGAGUCUGAAAAAAAAAAGUAAAUGUGGUACAAUCUGAUAGGAGGUUAUUAAGCUCUUUAGUGGUUGUGACCAAUGGAUUCGGAUGUGGUCUUCCUCACAGUGUCUCUAUUUAAUAGAUAACCUGACAAGCUCUGAAUCUUGAAGAGGCUAUUGCUCCCCACAGUGUAUUAUCAACACUUUAAUGCUAAGUCCUUAUGAUUAAUAGUCAAUAUUUUUAAAAUACUUGCUCUGUAUAAUCAGAUCUCUUGCCAGAUGUUAGCAUCUCCACGUUUUGUUUGCUUUAUCAGUAUAGGGAGCCAAAGAAGCUGUGACUAAAUGUGUAAAAAGCAGACAAGUGAUGGUGUUCUGUUCUCAUUAGCCUUGUUCUCCAAGGCUAUUAUUGUCUUCUAUGAGAAUGGCAACCCACAAGCCAGAGUGUCACUGCUGACAAAAUGUGCAAGUAGAAGUAGUUACAAACAAUGGACCACCAUGUGCAAAAUCUACAACUGCAAUUUCCUUCUCUCCAUUGUUUAUAGCCUGAGACUGCUCACCUACAGAGACCUUGUACCAACCUACCAAGACAAAAUUAUAACUCCUGCAAUGUACCCAAUAAAUACAGUGAGUUCUGUAUUACUGCAUGGUUCAUCUGAUUGCAGCUUUUCUGCACCUGUUUCUGUGUAUCUGUCCUUUCUUCAUUUCCUUGCCGUCUCUAGUCAGGCUUCUGGGACCAAUCAGGGUAGAAUGUGCUACCUCUUAAGGGACAUAAUAAUCACCUUUAAUAGA
ensembl:lncRNA